rnacentral:lncRNA from 10 species
AGACGAGAGAAACCUGAUAAAUUUGCACAGGGACAGAUGCUCAGGGGAAAGGAAAGAGCUCUGCCUUGCACUUGUACAGAAAGGAAACAAGGCAGCAGAGGCAAGACCAAUGGAGAGUACGGCAGCAAGACAGAAAGGGGCAGAAGGCGACAGAACAUGCACGCUGGGGACAUGGAAAUUUCUAGAAAGAAGGCGCAAGCAGAAACAGGACACCGGCGAUAAAAAGUUCCCUUUGUAACCAGACCAGCUGAGACCAGUUACAAAGCCUACCCCAGGUAUCCGACCAGAUGACUUCAAAAAGACCUCAGGCUUCAUUAUAAUCUAAUUUCCAUGCUAAAUGACACUUCCACCAGUGUCAUGACGGUUGCCAGUCCCCGUGACAAUGACCAGAAGGAGCCAUAAAAGGACAAAAACAAGGGAGCCCCUCAUUCCAAGAAGUGUACCGCCCAGUUCCAGAAAAGACAUGGAUAUUCCUCCUCUUGCUUUUAAUGUCCAGCCAUCAUUAA